rnacentral:lncRNA from 1 species
GAACGACUGAAGGACGAAACGCAACUCGCACUCAACAGCACGAAAAACAAGAUGAAGAAGAUUGAGAUGGAGUGAGAACACACACACACAUGCUCAUACACUAGACCGAGCUCAAAUACAAGGGUGCAUCCAUAAUAGUUUACUGCUUGUGUAAGUAUUCGGAGGAGCUGUCACACAGUCAAGAGGAGGUGCGGAGGCUGCAGUCCGCGCUGACGAGUCCGAGAGAGGAGAGCACAGCUAUCAGUGAGGAGAGACUCAUGCUGCAGCAGGAGAACCAGCAACUGCACAGGAACUGGAGAUUCAGAUGGAAGCUGAUCAUCAGAAGACACUGGAGUAUGACAGGCAGGUUUUAGAGCAGAGAACACGCGUCUACAGAGACGUCUUACUCGGGCAGAGCAACGUGCAGCCAGUGCAUCACAACAGCCGAGUGUGAUAUCACAACGGAGAAAAACUGCGUCCAUGAUGGAUCUUGAGACUUUAUCAUAGAUAAACACCAUCAUCAUCAUCUAAAAAGAAUCACCCUGAUCAGUUUGUUGUUGGACUUGACUUAACGUUUAGUGUCUUUCACUGGCAGGAUUACCCAUGUGUUCAUUGACAAUUAAUUUAAUAAAAAGAUAUUGAUGAGUUCACC